AUGCCCUGCAAGAAACGAAGGUCCGACUGUUGGUCCUCCAAGGGGCGCUGUGUCUUUAAAUGCGGCCGGUUGGGCAGGCUGGGGGGGACUCGGGGGCCUAAAAGGGGGUUUGGUCCUCCAAGGGCGCUGUCUCUUUAAAUCGGAAGGGUUGGAAGACACGGGGACCGAGGUCCGACUGUUGGUCCUCCAAGGGUGCUGUCUCUUUAAAUCCAGCAGCGUUGACAGCCUUAGGAGGACUAAGGUCCGACUGUUGGUCCUCCAAGGGGCGUUGGCGCUUUAAAUGCGGUGUGUUUAACAGACUCGGGGGGUCUCGGGGGCCUAAAAGGGGGUUUGGUCCUCCAAGGGUGCUGUCUCUUUAAGUCUAAAGGGGUAGAACACGCAAGGACCAAGGUCCGACUGUUGGUCCUCCAAGGGGCGCUGUCUCUUUAAAUCCAGCAGCAUUGACAGCCUUAGGAGGACUAAGGUCCGACUGUUGGUCCUCCAAGGGGCGCUGUGUCUUUAAAUGCGGCCGGUUGGGCAGGCUGGGGGGGACUCGGGGGCCUAAAAGGGGGUUUGGUCCUCCAAGGGCGCUGUCUCUUUAAAUCGGAAGGGUUGGAAGACACGGGGACCGAGGUCCGACUGUUGGUCCUCCAAGGGUGCUGUCUCUUUAAAUCCAGCAGCGUUGACAGCCUUAGGAGGACUAAGGUCCGACUGUUGGUCCUCCAAGGGGCGUUGGCGCUUUAAAUGCGGUGUGUUUAACAGACUCGGGGGGUCUCGGGGGCCUAAAAGGGGGUUUGGUCCUCCAAGGGUGCUGUCUCUUUAAGUCUAAAGGGGUAGAACACGCAAGGACCAAGGUCCGACUGUUGGUCCUCCAAGGGGCGCUGUCUCUUUAAAUCCAGCAGCAUUGACAGCCUUAGGAGGACUAAGGUCCGACUGUUGGUCCUCCAAGGGGCGCUGUGUCUUUAAAUGCGGCCGGUUGGGCAGGCUGGGGGGGACUCGGGGGCCUAAAAGGGGGUUUGGUCCUCCAAGGGCGCUGUCUCUUUAAAUCUAGAGGGGUAGAACACGCGAGAAGCAAGGUCUGACUGUUGGUCCUCCAAGGGCGCUGUCUCUUUAAAUCCAGCAGCGUUGACAGCCUUAGGAGGACUAAGGUCCGACUGUUGGUCCUCCAAGGGGCGCUGGCGCUUUAAAUGCGGCCGGUUGGGAAGACUCGGGGGGUCUCGGGGGCCUAAAAGGGGGUUUGGUCCUCCAAGGGUGCUGUCUCUUUAAGUCUAAAGGGGUAGAACACGCAAGGACCAAGGUCCGACUGUUGGUCCUCCAAGGGGCGCUGUGUCUUUAAAUGCGGCCGGUUGGGCAGGCUGGGGGGGACUCGGAGGCCUAAAAGGGGGUUUGGUCCUCCAAGGGCGCUGUCUCUUUAAAUCUAGAGGGGUAGAACACGCGAGGAGCAAGGUCCGACUGUUGGUCCUCCAAGGGCGCUGUCUCUUUAAAUCCAAAGGGUUUCACAGCCUCAGGAGGACCAAGGUCGGACUGUUGGUCCUCCAAGGGGCGCUGUGUCUUUAAAUGCGGCCGGUUGGGCAGGCUGGGGGGGUCUCGGGGGCCUAAAAGGGGGUUUGGUCCUCCAAGGGCGCUGUCUCUUUAAAUCUAGAGGGGUAGAAGACACGGGGACCGAGGGCCGACUGUUGGUCCUCCAAGGGGCGCUGGCACUUUAAAUGCGGCCGGUUGGGCAGGCUGGGGGGGACUCGGGGGCCUAAAAGGGGGUUUGGUCCUCCAAGGGCGCUGUCUCUUUAAAUCUAGAGGGGUAGAAGACACGGGGACCGAGGUCCGACUGUUGGUCCUCCAAGGGGCGCUGUCUCUUUAAAUCCAGCAGCGUUGACAGCCUUAGGAGGACUAAGGUCUGACUGUUGGUCCUCCAAGGGGCGCCGUGUCUUUAAAUCCAAAGGGUUUGACAGGCUCAGGAGGACCAAGGUCGGACUGUUGGUCCUCCAAGGGCGCUGUCUCUUUAAAUCCCCCCUAUUUAACCCCCAGUGGAGGACCAACGUCCGCCUGUUGGUCCUCCAAGGUCUGUAGUGGCUGUAGUUGGUCCUCCAAGAGCGCUCUCCCUUUAAAUCCCCCCUAUUUAACCCCCAGUGGAGGACCAAAGUCCGCCUGUAGGUCCUCCAAGAGCCCUCUCCCUUUAAAUCCUCCAUGUUUACCACCCCGUGGAGGACCAAAGUCCGCCUGUAAGUCCUCCAAGAGCACUUUCCCUUUAAAUCCUCCAUGUUUAACCCCCAGUGGAGGACCAAAGUCCGCCUGUAGGUCCUCCAAGAGCACUUUCCCUUUAAAUCCUCCAUGUUUACCACCCCGUGGAGGACCAAAGUCCGCCUGUUGGUCCUCCAAGAGCGCUCUCCCUUUAAAUCCUCCAUGUUUAACCCCCAGUGGAGGACCAAAGUCCGCCUGUAGGUCCUCCAAGAGCACUUUCCCUUUAAAUCCCCCCUAUUUAACCCCCAGUGGAGGACCAAAGUCCGCCUGUAGGUCCUCCAAGGGCCCUCUCCCUUUAAAUCCUCCAUGUUUACCACCCCGUGGAGGACCAAAGUCCGCCUGUAAGUCCUCCAAGGGCCCUCUCCCUUUAAAUCCCCCCUAUUUAACCCCCAGUGGAGGACCAAAGUCCGCCUGUAAGUCCUCCAAGGGCACUUUCCCUUUAAAUCCUCCGGCUUUUACAGCAUAACAAGGUCCAAGGUCCACAGCAGCGGCGCUAACGAGCUAAUUAAGGGCCUAAUUGGUCCUCCAGCCUAAUUGGUCCUCCAACCGCCAUUGGUCCUCCAGCCGCCAUUAGUCCUCCAGCCAUUGGUCCUCCAGCCUAAUGGGUCCUCCAGCCUAAUUGGUCCUCCAGCCAUUGGUCCUCCAGCCGCCAUUGGUCCUCCAGCCAUGAGUCCUCCAGCCGCCAUUAGUCCUCCAGCCAUGAGUCCUCCAGCCAUUGGUCCUCCAGCCGCCAUUAGUCCUCCAGCCAUGAGUCCUCCAGCCAUUGGUCCUCCAGCCUAAUUGGUCCUCCAGCUGCCAUUAGUCCUCCAGCCACGAGUCCUCCAGCCGCCAUGAGUCCUCCAGCCGCCAUUAAUCCCAUCCAACCAAUGAGACGCCAACGCAAGAGCAGAUAGGAAUCAUUUAAUGACUUAAUUAGGUCCUAAUUAGCCAAAGCUCGUUAACGAAGGGACAUAACGAAGGGGGAGGGACCCUCUGGCCGCCAUUGGUCCUCCAGCCACGAGUCCUCCAGCCGCAAUGAGUCCUCCAGCCGCCAUUAAUCCGCAAGCAGCCAAUGAGACACCAACGCCAGAGCAGAUAGUAACUACUUAAUGCUUUAAUGAGGUUCUAAUUAGCCACAGCUCGUUAACAAAGGGAUAUAACGAAGGGGGAGGGACCCUCUGGCCGCCAUGAGUCCUCCAGCCAGGAGUCCUCCAGCCGCCAUGAGUCCUCCAGCCGCCAUUAAUCCCAUCCAACCAAUGAGACGCCAACGCAAGAGCAGAUAGGAAUCAUUUAAUGACUUAAUUAGGUCCUAAUUAGCCACAGCUCGUUAACGAAGGGACAUAACGAAGGGGGAGGGACCCUCUGGCCGCCAUUGGUCCUCCAGCCACGAGUCCUCCAGCCGCCAUGAGUCCUCCAGCCGCCAUUUAUCCCAUCCAACCAAUGAGACGCCAACGCCAGAGCAGAUAAUAACUACUUAAUGCUUUAAUGAGGUUCUAAUUAGCCACAGCUCGUUAACGAAGGGACAUAACGAAGGGGGAGGGACCCUCUGGCCGCCAUGAGUCCUCCAGCCACGAGUCCUCCAGCCGCCAUGAGUCCUCCAGCCGCCAUUUAUCCCAUCCAACCAAUGAGACGCCAACGCCAGAGCAGAUAAUAACUACUUAAUGCUUUAAUUAGGUUCUAAUUAGCCACAGCUCGUUAACGAAGGGACAUAACGAAGGGGGAGGGACCCUCUGGCCGCCAUUGGUCCUCCAGCCACGAGUCCUCCAGCCGCCAUGAGUCCUCCAGCCGCCAUUAAUCCCAUCCAACCAAUGAGACGCCAACGCCAGAGCAGAUAAUAACUACUUAAUGCUUUAAUGAGGUUCUAAUUAGCCACAGCUCGUUAACGAAGGGCAUAACGAAGGAGGAGGGACCCUCUGGCCGCCAUUGGUCCUCCAGCCACGAGUCCUCCAGCCGCCAUGAGUCCUCCAGCCGCCAUUAAUCCCAUCCAACCAAUGAGACGCCAACGCAAGAGCCGAUAGCAAUCAUUUAUUCAUACGUAGGUAUGCUAAUUAGCCAAAGCUCGUUAACGAAGGGACAUAACGAAGGGGGAGGGA